UAAGUGGAGAGUUUGAUCCUGGCUCAGAGCGAACGUUAGCGGCAGGCCUAACACAUGCAAGUCGAGCGAGAACGGUGCCUUCGGGCGCCUAGUAAAGCGGCGAACGGGUGAGUAACACGUGGGUAACCUGCCCUCCGGUGGGGGACAACCAUCCGAAAGGAUGGCUAAUACCGCAUACGUCCGCGAGUCCUGCGGGGCUCGCGGGGAAAGACUUCGGUCGCCGGAGGAUGGGCCCGCGGCGCAUCAGCUUGAUGGUGGGGUAACGGCCUACCAUGGCGAAGACGCGUAGCUGGUCUGAGAGGAUGAUCAGCCACACUGGGACUGAGACACGGCCCAGACUCCUACGGGAGGCAGCAGUGGGGAAUAUUGGACAAUGGGCGAAA
rnacentral:rRNA from 1 species